AGAGUUUGAUCCUGGCUCAGGACGAACGCUGGCGGCGUGCCUAACACAUGCAAGUCGAUCGGACGAGGCCCCUUCGGGGACCGAGUUAGUGGCGGACGGGUGAGUAACGCGUGAGCAACCUGCCUUUCAGAGGGGGACAACAGUUGGAAACGACUGCUAAUACCGCAUGAUGCAGCGAGAUCGCAUGGUCUUGCUGUCAAAGAUUUAUCGCUGAAAGAUGGGCUCGCGUCUGAUUAGCUAGUUGGAGGGGUAACGGCCCACCAAGGCGACGAUCAGUAGCCGGACUGAGAGGUUGAACGGCCACAUUGGGACUGAGAUACGGCCCAGACUCCUACGGGAGGCAGCAGUGGGGAAUAUUGGGCAAUGGGGGAAACCCUGACCCAGCAACGCCGCGUGAAGGAAGAAGGCUUUCGGGUUGUAAACUUCUUUUACCAGGGACGAAGAACGUGACGGUACCUGGAGAAAAAGCCACGGCUAACUACGUGCCAGCAGCCGCGGUAAUACGUAGGUGGCAAGCGUUGUCCGGAUUUACUGGGUGUAAAGGGCGUGUAGGCGGAGCUGCAAGUCAGAUGUGAAAUCUGGGGGCUUAACCCUCAAACUGCAUUUGAAACUGUAGCCCUUGAGUAUCGGAGAGGCAGGCGGAAUUCCUAGUGUAGCGGUGAAAUGCGUAGAUAUUAGGAAGAACACCAGUGGCGAAGGCGGCCUGCUGGACGACAACUGACGCUGAGGCGCGAAAGCGUGGGGAGCAAACAGGAUUAGAUACCCUGGUAGUCCACGCUGUAAACGAUGAAUACUAGGUGUGGGGGGACUGACCCCCUCCGUGCCGGAGUUAACACAAUAAGUAUUCCACCUGGGGAGUACGACCGCAAGGUUGAAACUCAAAGGAAUUGACGGGGGCCCGCACAAGCAGUGGAUUAUGUGGUUUAAUUCGACGCAACGCGAAGAACCUUACCGGGAUUUGACAUCCUACUAACGAAGCAGAGAUGCAUUAGGUGCCCUUCGGGGAAAGUAGAGACAGGUGGUGCAUGGUUGUCGUCAGCUCGUGUCGUGAGAUGUUGGGUUAAGUCCCGCAACGAGCGCAACCCCUAUUGUUAGUUGCUACGCAAGAGCACUCUAGCGAGACUGCCGUUGACAAAACGGAGGAAGGCGGGGACGACGUCAAAUCAUCAUGCCCCUUAUGUCCCGGGCUACACACGUAAUACAUUGGCGGUCAACAAAGGGAAGCAAAGCCGCGAGGCAGAGCAAACCCCCAAAAGCCGUCUCAGUUCGGAUUGCAGGCUGCAACUCGCCUGCAUGAAGCUGGAAUUGCUAGUAAUCGUGGAUCAGAAUGCCACGGUGAAUACGUUCCCGGGCCUUGUACACACCGCCCGUCACACCAUGAGAGUCGGGAACACCCGAAGUCCGUAGUCUAACCCGCAAGGGAGGGCGCGGCCGAAGGUGGGUCUGAUAAUUGGGGUGAAGUCGUAACAAGGUA
rnacentral:rRNA from 1 species